rnacentral:rRNA from 1 species
GACGAACGCUGGCGGCGUGCUUAACACAUGCAAGUCGAACGAAGUGGCGCACGUGUGAGUAACGCGUAAUCAACCUGCCCUUCCGAGGGGGACAACAGUUGGCAACGACUGCUAAUACCGCAUACUGAAGGAGGGGAUUGCGUCUGAUUAGCUAGUUGGAGGGGUAACGGCCCACCAAGGCGAUGAUCAGUAGCAGGGUGGAGAGGAUGACAGGCAACAUUGGGACUGAGACAAGGCCCAGCAUCCUACGGGAGGCAGCAGUGGGGAAUCUUACGAAAUGGACGAAAGUCUGACGGAGCAACGCCGCGUGAGUGAUGACGGGCUUCGGGUUGUAAAGCUCUGUUAAUCGGGACGCGGUACCGGAAUAGAAAGCCACGGCUAACUACGUGCCAGCAGCCGCUGUAAUAC